AGAUGCGAUGCUCCAGCUUAGGUGGCAAUCUUGCAUCCAUCCGAGACUUCAGUGACGUUCAGGAUGUGAGUUGGUUGACUAACAAUUGGCGUGGGUUCUGGAUCGGUGGCCACCACGAAUGGUUAUUUAGAUGGACUUGGACUGAUGGCUCCCUUUUUGGCUUUCAACAUUGGUACAAAAGACAUCCACUAUUCCGCCGUGGCGAUUGCAUUGCGGUGAAUGGUUUGGGUUCCUGGCAGGCUGAGAGCUGCAAUCUCCUUCUCCCUUAUGUCUGUGCUAUGUAGGCUACUAAACAGUGCUGGGCAACUUGGGAUUCAUUAGUUUUACAAUCCAGAUGACCUGGUUUUACCUGUGCUAUUCAACCAGGUAAUCAUUUUGAAUGUGUGCCACUGGAUUGUAACUAUGACCAUCUGCAUUAAAAUCACUGCGGAUAAGAGGACCUGCUUUUGUAAUGUUCCCUUUCAUAAUCCAUCCAGCGCUCAUGUAUAAUAAAAAUCCUCAACCAAAAACA